GGUGGGAAUUGUUUAGAGUGUCGAGCAAGGUCUGACAUUUUGCUUGUUGAUUGAAGCUUGUUGGUGUGCAUUGCUUUCACUAAUCAAAUGAUGAACAUGAGUCAGUAAGGCUUAGGAAUUUGGGUCAGAUGGUAAGGGAGGUAAGUUUAGAGAAGUAGAAAUAACUUCCUGGUAAAGUUUGCUUGAGUUUUUCUUCUUUUCCGGAUUCAAGUGAAGAGGAGUUAACCUGCUUUGUUUGUGUUUGGCUAUCUAUUUCAUGUUGAGUGGAGGAAUUUUAUCCAAUCUUUUCACUAG
rnacentral:lncRNA from 1 species